GGUGCAUCAGCCAGAACAUCAUGGUAGGGGGCGGCCAGAGACCACUCGAUCGUGGUAUUGGACUCAGAAAGCUAAGGAAUCAGAGGUAACUAGUCCUGCUCCUGAGCCCUGGAAAACCUGAUGAACACGUCCCUUGUUCUUGCCCUGCUGGAUCAGCUGGAGCAUCAUGGCUCUGUCCUCUUCCUCUGCUCCAAGGGCUGCAGAAAAGGAAGGCUUGAUCUUUUCUGACCUUUCCUUCUAAGCAUCGUUGAAGCCUUUGGAUCCUUGCCACUGCUGUGUGUGAUAUGGGACCUCCCAAAUGUCCUGUCCUGACUGGAAACCUGCUCUGCUUCAGCCCUCUACAUGGAAUACAACCUUCAGUCCUGGAGGGGGAGGUUUGCUAAGCAGGAGAGCUGGGGGAGCUCUGUUUCCUAAGGACUAAGAUUGAACCGAGGUCCACAUGAAUGUUCUACCAUCGAUCUACAUCAAACUCCCUUUUUAUUUUAUUUUGAGACAAGAUCUCACUGAGUUGCCCAUACUGGCCUCUCAAACUUGGAACACUCAUGCCUUAGACUCCCAAGUAACCAGUAUUAUAGACAUGAACCGUUGUGCCCUGUCUGGAGGGUUUCUUGGUUAACCACCUCUGUAAGAAUGAGCUGUGGGGGGAGGGGGGGCAAACACCCAGCUUUAUGAAUUAACACUCUGCCUCUCCCAUAUACGGCACAAUA